rnacentral:rRNA from 1 species
UAGUGAGUUUGAUCCUGGCUCAGGAUGAACGCUAGCGGCAGGCUUAACACAUGCAAGUCGAGCGCGUCCAGCAAUGGGGAGCGGCAAACGGGUGCGGAACACGUACGCAAUCUGCCCUUCACUGGGGAAUAGCCUUCUGAAAAGGAGAUUAAUACCCCAUAAAAUAGCAAGGUGGCAUCACCUAACUAUUAAAGUUCCGGCGGUGAAGGAUGAGCGUGCGUCCUAUUAGGUAGUUGGUAGGGUAACGGCCUACCAAGCCGACGAUAGGUAGCUGGUGUGAGAGCACGACCAUCCACACGGGCACUGAGACACGGGGCCCGACUCCUACGGGAGGCAGCAGUGAGGAAUAUUGCACAAUGGGCGCAAGCCUGAUG